AUUGAACGCUGGCGGCAUGCCUUACACAUGCAAGUCGAACGGCAGCACGGGUGCUUGCACCUGGUGGCGAGUGGCGGACGGGUGAGUAAUACAUCGGAACAUGUCCUGUAGUGGGGGAUAGCCCGGCGAAAGCCGGAUUAAUACCGCAUACGAUCUACGGAUGAAAGCGGGGGGCCUUCGGGCCUCGCGCUAUAGGGUUGGCCGAUGGCUGAUUAGCUAGUUGGUGGGGUAAAGGCCUACCAAGGCGACGAUCAGUAGCUGGUCUGAGAGGACGACCAGCCACACUGGGACUGAGACACGGCCCAGACUCCUACGGGAGGCAGCAGUGGGGAAUUUUGGACAAUGGGCGAAAGCCUGAUCCAGCAAUGCCGCGUGUGUGAAGAAGGCCUUCGGGUUGUAAAGCACUUUUGUCCGGAAAGAAAUCCUUGGCCCUAAUACGGUCGGGGGAUGACGGUACCGGAAGAAUAAGCACCGGCUAACUACGUG
rnacentral:rRNA from 1 species